rnacentral:tRNA from 1 species
GGAUCUAUGGCACAAUGGUAGCACGUCUGACUCCAAAUCAGAAGGUUGCUUGUUCGAUUCAUGUCGGGUUCA